rnacentral:rRNA from 1 species
UUCGCCCUUUUCCGGUUGAUCCUGCCGGACCCGACUGCUAUCAGAGUGGGACUAAGCCAUGCGAGUUAACGCAGCAAUGCGUGGCAUACGGCUCAGUAACACGUAGUCAACAUGCCCAGGGGACGUGGAUAACCUCGGGAAACUGAGGAUAAACCGCGAUAGGCCAAGGUUUCUGGAAUGGAUCAUGGCUGAAACCUAUAUGGCCCCUGGAUUGGACUGCGGCCGGUCAGGCUGUUGGUGAGGUAAUGGCCCACCAAACCUGUAACCGGUACGGGCUCUGAGAGGAGGAGCCCGGAGAUGGGCACUGAGACAAGGGCCCAGGCCCUAUGGGGCGCAGCAGGCGCGAAACCUCUGCAAUAGGCGAAAGCUUGACAGGGUUACUCUGAGUGACGUCCGUUAAGGACGUCUUUUGGCACCUCUAAAAAUGGUGCAGAAUAAGGGGUGGGCAAGUCUGGUGUCAGCCGCCGCGGUAAUACCAGCACCCCGAGUGGUCGGGACGAUUAUUGGGCCUAAAGCAUCCGUAGCCGGUUCUGCAAGUCUUCCGUUAAAUCCACCUGCUCAACAGAUGGGCCGCGGAGGAUACUACAGGGCUAGGAGGCGGGAGAGGCAAGCGGUACUCAGUGGGUAGGGGUAAAAUCCUCUGAUC